rnacentral:misc_RNA from 1 species
CACCAAUCAAGUUUUACUUGGUAUUGGGCUCUUUUGUCCCUAAGAAAUUGGGGACAGGCCUUAAAGACAUUGGCGGCAUAGUCCGGCUUCGAGCGUAGCAAAAAACAUCGCUUUUGGAGUUAACUGGAUUAUUGUUCUUUUGUCCAUAAAAAAACUAGAGUAGAAAUACUCUAUACUUUUUUCAAA